GGGUGUGGGGACGCUGCCACCCCAUUGGUUGCCUGGGUUGAUUUUGCAGAUGUAACCAGCUGACUUGGUGACUGCCCUCCCGCCUCACCAGUUUACGUGUGUCCCUCUUGGUACCGCACACCAAGUCAGAGAGCAGGAGAAUCUUCCCGGGUAGAGCAUCAUUCUCUGGCCAAGGGUAUGUGGUGACUUUGUCUGUUACCUGGUAUUCUGAGCAAAUAUGAUAUUCUGGUUAAUCUUAUUGGACUAACUAGAAUCCUGAACAUAAAUAUUAUAAAUUUUCAAAAAAAAACCCACAUUACCUUAAAAUGAAGUAAGUACAACAUAAUCUUUCUUU
rnacentral:sRNA from 1 species